rnacentral:rRNA from 1 species
AGAGCGAACGCUGGCGGCAGGCUUAACACAUGCAAGUCGAGCGGGCGUAGCAAUACGUCAGCGGCAGACGGGUGAGUAACGCGUGGGAACGUACCUUUUGGUUCGGAACAACACAGGGAAACUUGUGCUAAUACCGGAUAAGCCCUUACGGGGAAAGAUUUAUCGCCAAAAGAUCGGCCCGCGUCUGAUUAGCUAGUUGGUGAGGUAACGGCUCACCAAGGCGACGAUCAGUAGCUGGUCUGAGAGGAUGAUCAGCCACAUUGGGACUGAGACACGGCCCAAACUCCUACGGGAGGCAGCAGUGGGGAAUAUUGGACAAUGGGCGCAAGCCUGAUCCAGCCAUGCCGCGUGAGUGAUGAAGGCCCUAGGGUUGUAAAGCUCGUUUUGUGCGGGAAGAUAAUGACGGUACCGCAAGAAUAAGCCCCGGCUAACUUCGUGCCAGCAACCGC